CAUACAUGUAAAGCUGCUUCUUUCCAGCAGUCAAACAUCAAUAAGAAAAGAUAUCUGAAAAAAAUGUCCUUUGGCUGUUCUGUGAAAAGGAGAAGAGGAGAAUUGUUCAUAUGCAGAAAGCAUCAUUGGCAUAAUGUGCAGUGGAAAUUUCAGUGCCAAAUGAAAUGAAUUCCCUCGAUUGCAGCACACUGAUCAUUUUGAUAUGAACACUCGGAGACCCCAGGUUCUAUCUGAAGGCACCAAUGGAAACCGAACAGUCUCUGCCAUCAAAAAGGGAGUGCCACAAAACAUCUCCUCCUCCACCUCAGAGGAAGAAGCCACAAAUCCCUCAAAGGAAGCACCUCUAGUAUCCUGCAAUAACUUGGAUGAGGAAA